UUAAAUUGAAGAGUUUGAUCAUGGCUCAGAUUGAACGCUGGCGGCAGGCCUAACACAUGCAAGUCGAACGGUAACAGGAAGCGCUUGCUGCUUCG
rnacentral:rRNA from 1 species